rnacentral:lncRNA from 1 species
AUGCCGUUCCCCACCCCCCAGAACCCACAAGCACCGUAUAAUGGUUACUGUGUGCUGCUAAGCUCCAGAGUGGCUCAGCCAGAUGCUGGGAAGAAGAAGAACAGACACCUUGCCGUGGGGAGAGGGUGUUCCAGGCACGGAAAACGGCCCGUCAGCAGGAGGGCGGGCAGGGCAGGGGACACUACGGUGGUGGCUUCCGGCAAAGUUCCCAAAGUGUGGGUGCGCCACCUGGGGCGGGCGGCCUGCUCUUCCGUCCUGGGGACGUUACCUCCCGGCUUCUCCCUGGGGAGGCCGCAAGGCCCUGGGGAAGAGGUUGCCCCUAAGCCCAGAGAUCCCAACCCAGGCCCCCUCCAGCUGAAUCCUGCCCACAGCUAUGCCUGGUUUGGCUCAUGUUUCUUUCUUUCUUUCUUUCUUUCUUUCUUUCUUUCUUUCUUUCUUUCUUUCUUUCCUUCCUUUCUUUUCUCAGUUAAGAGAUUGUAUAUUUCAAAUUUCUCUUGAAACUUCAGACCCACAUUUGUCGUUUGUCUGGAAAAAGAGAUCUGGCCAGCGUGGUCCCCUGUGCUCCCAGGAGGCUGCCCUCCCAUGGGCCUGGCAUGAACUUGCUGCCCCCCCACGCACCCCCUUCUUGCUGCCCGGUCUCAGCCAGUCCACGUGGCUCCUUUUCCUGGCUAGCCUAGCCCCUGUGGGCAUCUGGGUGCCGGGGCCCCGGAGGAUGGUGCUGGAGGCAGCUUCAGUGAAGCUUCCAGGGUCUCAAGCAUGUUCUGAAGGUAACAGAGAUUCCGCUUCUGAAGGGGUCACGUGAACGGGAAGAACGGGCAUCUCAGGGGUAACCCACGUGGACAGAUGCCCCACCCACCCCACCCACACUGACAUCUUGUGGCUGCGAGGCCCGAGGCCCCACCGCAGAAAGGACUGUGCAAGUCAAGAAGGUCUGAAUCUGCUUUGGUGUUGGCUCGGCACAGCCAAACAGAGGGCACGAGUCAGAGAUUCAGUGGGUUAAGAAAAAUUUAAAAAAACUGGUGUGUAUCCUGAGCAACCCAGUUUGUGGAUGAGAUGAAAGUCUGAUGCCGCACAUUGGGGCCGGGUCCAGUUUGUCCCCCCAAGAAACAAAAAUACCAUUCUUAGGAGGGCUUUCUCACCUGUCAGGCAGAAUAGGGGGCCCUUUAUGCCCUCAAACUCCAAAGUGCGGGCCUCAGAAUCAUCGGGUGUUAAAACCUGUUAAAACACAGACUGCCGGGCCCAGCCUCCCAGCUUCUGAUUCAGCAGGUCGAGGGCGCCCAAGAAUGUGUCUUUCCAAUGAGGUCCUAGAUAACGCUUAGGCUGCUGGUCUGGGGACCAGUCUUUGAGAAGCACCCAUUUAGACAAUCGUAUUAAUUAGUUCUCACAAUCUUAUUAGGUAGAAUCUAUCAUCCCCUUUUUAAGGAAGAAAAAAAAAAAAAGGUUCAUUUGCUUUCCUACGAAGUCAAGCCCGGCCACCAGGACGUGCAUCCCUAACCUUGCAGAGGUAACAUAUCUGAGGGGGAAGGGAUGGGAAGGGUAGGGGGCAGUGCUCACACCUGACUCCUCUCUUAGGAGGAGAGAGUAAAGAGUUCGGCAGUCCCCCCGCCCCCCUUAUCCGCGGUUUCGCUCUCCGCGGUUUCAGUUACCCGCGGGCAACCGCGGUCCAGACGCAGAUGACCCUCCUUCUGACUUACCAUCAGAAGGUCGUUAGUAGCCUAAUGUUACUACGGCACAACGCCUAUGUCAUUCACCUCAUUUCAUCUCCUCGUGUGGGCAUUUUAUCACCUCACAUCGUCACAAGAAGACAAAGGGUGAGUACGGGACAAUCAGAUAUGUUGAGAAAGAGAGAGUGUGUGAGAGAGAGAGAGACCACAUUCACACAACUCUUAUCACAGUGUAUUGUUAUAAUUGUUCUAUUUUAUUAUUAGAUAUUAUUGUUAAUCUCUUACUGUGCCUAACUUACAAAUUAAGCUUUAUCAUAGGUACGUGUGUAGAGGAGAAAACCUUUAUCAUAGGUACGUGUGUAUAGGGUUGCGUAUUACCUGGGGUUUCAGGCAUCCGCGGGGGUCUGGAACAUAUCCCCAUGGAUAAGGGGGGAACUACUGUAAUACUUAACAAUUAUACAGUGAUCACUCUGCAUUCCCCGAAGCCCUUGGCAUGUAUCCACCCCUCCACUCCUCACGGUACCCCACAGAAGCCCGCCUCAUCACCCCCAUUUUAUAGAUGACGAAACUGAUCCACUCUGUCCAGUCAGCAGGCUGGGGAAGAGGAUGCGCUCGCUUGGGAGGCCUUUACUGGGCGGGGUCUGGGAGCGAUGACGUCGCCUCUGCUCACCGUCAUUGGCUGGAAGCCAGUCACAUGCUCACACGUGCCUGCAAGGGAAGCUGGGAGAUGUAGUCUCUCUACGCUCUCAGGGGAAACCAGAGAUGGGAUUUGCUCGCUGAUUUUGAGGCAAGCUCCGCGCUAAUGCCAUUGAGGCCCCAGAAGGAGAUGCUAUGAACAAAGUCACGCAGCGGCUGGAGGGACAGUGGGUGGAGGUGGGGUCUGGAGCCUGAAGACAGGUUUUAAGGCCUUGGCUGCGUGGUAUUGUGCGACUCACUUUUCUCUGAGCCUCACUGUAUUGUAAUAGGGCGAUGCUUAUUUGCCAGCAUAUUUGUGUGCCUAAAAUGAGAUAACACGGCCACCCAGGGCGGGCCCUCUGCGUGUUAAUUCGGUCGGAAUCAAAACCCGUGUUGGGGGUUCUCACCCAGGACUGCACGUUUGACUCACCCCCGGGGAGAUUUUUUAAAAGACCCGUCUGAAUCAUGCGUACAGGAGUGAGGUCAGUGCUUGGUAUUUUCUAAAAAUACCCUCAGGUCAUUUUCAUAUACAGCCAGGCUUGAGAACUGCCUUCUAAGAUAUUGACUAUCAGCCAGAAUGGAGCAACUAACAUCUCUUACUUAAGGAGUGGAGGGAUCCAAGGUCUCUAACUGGGAGAAAGCCUAGAGGGUUGGGCUGGGGUUGACCUUGACACGCUCUCUGGGGGGGGGGGGGGCUUGUGUCAAAUGAGUGGGUGGGUGGGCCUGGAGCAGGAUGUAUUUCGUUCAUAUUUCCGCCGAGGAGCAGCACAGAAAAGUCCCCGUGGAACGAAGUCCUGCUCCCCCUUCCCUAGGAUUUUCUCUCCGUCAUCGGCUCUGCUGAGACUGGCAGGUGCCAACACUUACAAAUCGCCCUGGCCUGUGCUUCCAUGUAGAACAGCAAAGUGUCAUUAUUUCUAGGCUUUUACCAGGUGGAACAACUUUCUGCCAGCUAAGGUGACAUGUGGCCGUUGGCAUUUGAACAGGUCGCUUUGCGGGACGGGCAAGAGACAGUUAAGUGCCACCUUGGGGCUAUUACUCUCAGCAGGAGGAGAGUAGCUACGUGCUUGUGGCUUUGCUUGUUCACUUGGUGUUUCCCUGGAGAUGAGGGGAGAGGUCGGGGCCCACGGGGUGUCUAUUUAUCAGAACACUCACUGCGUAACAGACACACUGCGCCUACUUUACAUAUCGCUCCACAUGGUGCUUUACAAGUGUUAACUCAAUUAAGUCCCCACCACGACCCUCUAAGGUUGGCACCAUUGCUCUCCUUGCUUUGCAAAUGGGGAAACUGAGGCACAAGGCACUAAGUAAAUUGCUCAGGGUCCCACAGCUGGUGAGCGGCAGAGCCGGGUUUCGGUGGACGCCCAGUGGCCAGGCUUUGGCAUCUGUGCUUCUCCUGACUGCUGUCCCGCACUUGGGGUGAGCAGCGGUCUUGGUUUUCCGGGGACUGAAGUCUGUCCCAGGAUGGAUGAGGAGCUUUGAUGACUGGGACGGUCCUGGGCAAACUGGAACAGUUGGUGAUCCUGGCUGGGAUUGUCCUCAAGUGUCACGGAAGAUUGAAGAUGGUUGAUAAUGAAUGUGUGUGUGUGUGUGUGUGUGUUGUGUGUGUAUCCCCCUCCCCCCAACCCUGGCAAUAAAACAUGCAAGGGCCGUGUUGGAUGAUUAAAA